GAAGGUGUUGUCACUUCAAUAUAGCGUGAUAUGGAUUGGCCGCUGGAAUAUGCAUGCAUUUAUUAUUAACGUUUUCAAUCAGCCUCAAUUUUUGUGUCUGUUCAAAGUAGCACGUUCUCAAAUUCGACUGAAAGUGUCUUUCUAAUACAACACAGGGUACCGGUAAAAUAAAUAUAAACUGUUCAUCUGUCCAGUGCAUAUAACGUGUUGUCAUUCUCAUAUGCACAUGAUAUUUGUCACUGGACAUUAAACCCUAAUUCGUAAGCAUCAUCCAAUUGGUUCUUUAUUUCUAUUAUUUAAUCAUAUGUUGUUUACAAAUCAUUCCCAAGAAGUAAAUGGAAAGGAGCGAAUGCAGCUACAUUU
rnacentral:lncRNA from 1 species